CCUGAUGAAGCUGCUUAAACUGUCUGCGCAGCUACUCUCGAUGAGACUUGAGUACAAACUUCUCCAUGAAAAGAAUCGGGAACUACUUCAAGAAACUCUGGGCAUCCUCGCCCUCUGCACCACUAAAAGUCGGAGGCUAAAAUCUACCAAACCUUUCCAAGCUGCAUUGCUCGCCCUCUAGCAUAAUAGGAUCUACAUAUUCCUGAGCAGCUGCAACCGAUCUGGAUGUUCCCCUGGUGAUUAAAGUCAGUACACGACCUGCUCAGGUGUGUGAGCGGCAGGAGUCUGAGUGCCUCCCCCCGCCUGAG
rnacentral:lncRNA from 1 species